CGAUAGUGAACCAGUACCGUGAGGGAAAGGCGAAAAGAACCCCGGCGAGGGGAGUGAAAAAGAACCUGAAACCGUGUACGUACAAGCAGUGGGAGCACCCUUUGGGUGUGACUGCGUACCUUUUGUAUAAUGGGUCAGCGACUUAUAUUCUGUAGCAAGGUUAACCGAAUAGGGGAGCCGGAGGGAAACCGAGUCUUAACCGGGCGUUAAGUUGCAGGGUAUAGACCCGAAACCCGGUGAUCUAGCCAUGGGCAGGUUGAAGGUUGGGUAACACUAACUGGAGGACCGAACCGACUAAUGUUGAAAAAUUAGCGGAUGACCUGUGGCUGGGGGUGAAAGGCCAAUCAAACCGGGAGAUAGCUGGUUCUCCCCGAAAGCUAUUUAGGUAGCGCCUCGUGAAUUCAUCUCCGGGGGUAGAGCACUGUUUCGGCUAGGGGGCCAUCCCGGCUUACCAACCCGAUGCAAACUGCGAAUACCGGAGAAUGUUAUCACGGGAGACACACGGCGGGUGCUAACGUCCGUCGUGAAGAGGGAAACAACCCAGACCGCCAGCUAAGGUCCCAAAGUCAUGGUUAAGUGGGAAACGAUGUGGGAAGGCCCAGACAGCCAGGAUGUUGGCUUAGAAGCAGCCAUCAUUUAAAGAAAGCGUAAUAGCUCACUGGUCGAGUCGGCCUGCGCGGAAGAUGUAACGGGGCUAAACCAUGCACCGAAGCUGCGGCAGCGACACUGUGUGUUGUUGGGUAGGGGAGCGUUCUGUAAGCCUGUGAAGGU
rnacentral:rRNA from 1 species